GCGACAGCGGGUUAGUGGAGGACGAUGCAGGCGACAGCGGGUUAGUCGAGGACGAUGCAGGCGACAGCGGGUUAGUGGAGGACGAUGCAGGCGACAGCGGGUUAGUCGAGGACGAUGCAGGCGACAGCGGGUUAGUCGAGGACGAUGCAGGCGACAGAGGGUUAGUCGAGGACGAUGCAGGCGACAGCAGGUUAGUCGAGGACGAUGCAGGCGACAGCGGGUUAGUCGAGGACGACGCAGGCGACAGCGGGUUAGUCGAGGACGAUGCAGGCGACAGCGGGUUAGUGGAGGACGACGCAGGCGACAGCGGGUUAGUCGAGGACGAUGCAGGCGACAGCAGGUUAGUCGAGGACGAUGCAGGCGACAGCGGGUUAGUCGAGGACGACGCAGGCGACAGCGGGUUAGUCGAGGACGAUGCAGGCGACAGCAGGUUAGUCGAGGACGAUGCAGGCGACAGCGGGUUAGUGGAGGACGAUGCAGGCGACAGCGGGUUAGUCGAGGACGAUGCAGGCGACAGCGGGUUAGUCGAGGACGAUGCAGGCGACAGCGGGUUAGU